rnacentral:rRNA from 1 species
UUAAGUUAUUAAGGGCGCACGGUGGAUGCCUUGGCACUAGAAGCCGAUGAAGGACGUUACUAACGACGAUAUGCUUUGGGGAGCUGUAAGUAAGCUUUGAUCCAGAGAUUUCCGAAUGGGGAAACCCAGCAUGAGUUAUGUCAUGUUAUCGAUAUGUGAAUACAUAGCAUAUCAGAAGGCACACCCGGAGAACUGAAACAUCUUAGUACCCGGAGGAAGAGAAAGAAAAUUCGAUUCCCUUAGUAGCGGCGAGCGAAACGGGAAGAGCCCAAACCAACAAGCUUGCUUGUUGGGGUUGUAGGACACUCUAUACGGAGUUACAAAGGACGACAUUAGACGAAUCAUCUGGAAAGAUGAAUCAAAGAAGGUAAUAAUCCUGUAGUCGAAAAUGUUGUCUCUCUUGAGUGGAUCCUGAGUACGACGGAGCACGUGAAAUUCCGUUGGAAUCUGGGAGGACCAUCUCCUAAGGCUAAAUACUCUCUAGUGACCGAUAGUGAACCAGUACCGUGAGGGAAAGGUGAAAAGCACCCCGGAAGGGGAGUGAAAUAGAACCUGAAACCGUGUGCUUACAAGUAGUCAGAGCCCGUUAAUGGGUGAUGGCGUGCCUUUUGUAGAAUGAACCGGCGAGUUACGAUUUGAUGCAAGGUUAAGCAGUAAAUGUGGAGCCGUAGCGAAAGCGAGUCUGAAUAGGGCGUUUAGUAUUUGGUCGUAGACCCGAAACCAGGUGAUCUACCCUUGGUCAGGUUGAAGUUCAGGUAACACUGAAUGGAGGACCGAACCGACUUACGUUGAAAAGUGAGCGGAUGAACUGAGGGUAGCGGAGAAAUUCCAAUCGAACCUGGAGAUAGCUGGUUCUCUCCGAAAUAGCUUUAGGGCUAGCCUCAAGUGAUGAUUAUUGGAGGUAGAGCACUGUUUGGACGAGGGGCCCCUCUCGGGUUACCGAAUUCAGACAAACUCCGAAUGCCAAUUAAUUUAACUUGGGAGUCAGAACAUGGGUGAUAAGGUCCGUGUUCGAAAGGGAAACAGCCCAGACCACCAGCUAAGGUCCCAAAAUAUAUGUUAAGUGGAAAAGGAUGUGGCGUUGCCCAGACAACUAGGAUGUUGGCUUAGAAGCAGCCAUCAUUUAAAGAGUGCGUAAUAGCUCACUAGUCGAGUGACACUGCGCCGAAAAUGUACCGGGGCUAAACAUAUUACCGAAGCUGUGGAUUGUCCUUUGGACAAUGGUAGGAGAGCGUUCUAAGGGCGUUGAAGCAUGAUCGUAAGGACAUGUGGAGCGCUUAGAAGUGAGAAUGCCGGUGUGAGUAGCGAAAGACGGGUGAGAAUCCCGUCCACCGAUUGACUAAGGUUUCCAGAGGAAGGCUCGUCCGCUCUGGGUUAGUCGGGUCCUAAGCUGAGGCCGACAGGCGUAGGCGAUGGAUAACAGGUUGAUAUUCCUGUACCACCUAUAAUCGUUUUAAUCGAUGGGGGGACGCAGUAGGAUAGGCGAAGCGUGCGAUUGGAUUGCACGUCUAAGCAGUAAGGCUGAGUAUUAGGCAAAUCCGGUACUCAUUAAGGCUGAGCUGUGAUGGGGAGAAGACAUUGUGUCUUCGAGUCGUUGAUUUCACACUGCCGAGAAAAGCCUCUAGAUAGAAAAUAGGUGCCCGUACCGCAAACCGACACAGGUAGUCAAGAUGAGAAUUCUAAGGUGAGCGAGCGAACUCUCGUUAAGGAACUCGGCAAAAUGACCCCGUAACUUCGGGAGAAGGGGUGCUCUUUAGGGUUAACGCCCAGAAGAGCCGCAGUGAAUAGGCCCAAGCGACUGUUUAUCAAAAACACAGGUCUCUGCUAAACCGUAAGGUGAUGUAUAGGGGCUGACGCCUGCCCGGUGCUGGAAGGUUAAGAGGAGUGGUUAGCUUCUGCGAAGCUACGAAUCGAAGCCCCAGUAAACGGCGGCCGUAACUAUAACGGUCCUAAGGUAGCGAAAUUCCUUGUCGGGUAAGUUCCGACCCGCACGAAAGGCGUAACGAUUUGGGCACUGUCUCAACGAGAGACUCGGUGAAAUCAUAGUACCUGUGAAGAUGCAGGUUACCCGCGACAGGACGGAAAGACCCCGUGGAGCUUUACUGUAGCCUGAUAUUGAAAUUCGGCACAGCUUGUACAGGAUAGGUAGGAGCCUUUGAAACGUGAGCGCUAGCUUACGUGGAGGCGCUGGUGGGAUACUACCCUAGCUGUGUUGGCUUUCUAACCCGCACCACUUAUCGUGGUGGGAGACAGUGUCAGGCGGGCAGUUUGACUGGGGCGGUCGCCUCCUAAAAGGUAACGGAGGCGCUCAAAGGUUCCCUCAGAAUGGUUGGAAAUCAUUCAUAGAGUGUAAAGGCAUAAGGGAGCUUGACUGCGAGGCCUACAAGUCGAGCAGGGUCGAAAGACGGACUUAGUGAUCCGGUGGUUCCGCAUGGAAGGGCCAUCGCUCAACGGAUAAAAGCUACCCCGGGGAU